rnacentral:lncRNA from 1 species
GAAACCGAAUAAGGAAAUGGAAAUUGAAUAAGGAAAUGAAAAUGAAAAUCCAAUAAGGAAAUAGAAACCGAAUAAGGAAACAGAAACCGAAAAAGGAAAUGAAUAUUGAAAAAGGAAAAAGAAACCGAAUAAGGAAAAAGGAAGAAAAGGAAAAAGAAACCGAAUAAGGAAAUGGAAAUUGAAUAAGGAAAUGAAAAUCCAAUAAGGAAAUAGAAACCGAAUAAGGAACUAGAAACGAAAAAGGAAAUGAAUAUUGAAAAAGGAAAAAGAAACGAAUUAAGGAAAUGAAAAUCGAAUAAGGAAAUGGAAAUCGAAUAAGGAAACGAAAAUCCAAUUAGGAAAUAGAAACUGAAUAAGGAAAUAGAAACCGAAAAAGGAAAUGAAUAUUGAAAAAAGAAAAAGAAACCGAAUAAGGAAAUGAAAAUCGAAUAAGGAAAUGGAAAUCGAAUAAGGAAAUGAAAAUCCAAUAAGGAAAUAGAAACUGAAUAAGGAAAUAGAAACUGAAUAAGGAAAUAGAAACUGAAUAAGGAAAUGAAUAUUGAAAAAGGAAAAAGAAACUGAAUAAGGAAAUGAAAAUCGAAUAAGGAAAUGAAAAUCCAAUAAGGAAAUAGAAACCGAAUAAGGAAAUAGAAACCGAAAAAGGAAAUGAAUAUUGAAAAAGGAAGAAGAAACCGAAUAAGGAAAAGAAAAUCGAAUAAGGAAAUGAAAAUCGAAUAAGGAAAUGGAAAUCGAAUAAGGAUGAUAAUCGAAAAAGGAAAAAGAAAACGAAUAAGGAAAUGAACAAAAAAUUUAAAGAAAAACUUUUUGAGGAAAAAUAUUUUGAGAAAAAAAAAAUUUGAGGAAAAAAAAUUUUGAGGAAAAAAAAAUUGAGGAAAAAAAAAUUUUG